AUACCACACAACUCAUACCACACGCCACACCCCACACACCAAGUGCAUCACACACCACACACACAACACACACAUCACACACCACAGAUACCACACAACUCAUACCACACGCCACACAUCACACACCACAUACACAAUACACCACACACACAUCACACACUACAGACACCACACAACUCAUACCACACGCCACACAUCACACACCACCUGCAUCACACACCACACACACAACACACACAUCACACACCACAGAUACCACACAACUCAUACCACACGCCACACAUCACACACCACCUGCAUCACACACCACGCACACAACACACAUCACACACCACAGAUACCACACAACUCA
rnacentral:lncRNA from 10 species